GCCAAAGCUAAGGACACCCCAGCAACUUAGAAUUGGUCCCUGUUCUCACUGUCAACAGGCAGACCUUUUGCAUCUCUGUAUUAUUGAGGACUCUGCCCCUGCCAUUAAUCACGUGAUGACUUGAAAUCAUAGAAAGGAGAUUCAUAAAUAAUUAAGUUAUAGAAAAUUGCUGAUUAAGGGAGAUGCCCACAUCCAGCUUCAACUACGCAAGAUGAGGCAGGCCCAUGGGGAUGGUGGGGCCAUAAGAUUGAAGGAACUUGAGUUCCUGAAAGACUUUAU